GUUGGGCACAGCUGGGUAGAAAAGGAUUAAUACUCACUGAAAAGUGCAGGAUUCUAUAAAAAGAUGUUGGUAAAAAGAUGCCACCGAGACUCCAAAGAAGAUACCUGGAGUAAAUACCGCAGCAGCACGAUGAGUACCGUGAUCACAAAGGCAGAGGCUGCUGUGAUGGUCCCGAGAAUUAAGACACUGCUGUAGGAAGAGGAA